CUUGUUGGUGGGGUGAUGGCCUACCAAGGCGGUGACGGGUAGCCGGCCUGAGAGGGCGACCGGCCACACUGGGACUGAGACACGGCCCAGACUCCUGCGGGAGGCAGCAGUGGGGAAUAUUGCACAAUGGGCGAAAGCCUGAUGCAGCGACGCCGCGUGAGGGAUGACGGCCUUCGGGUUGUAAACCUCUUUCAGCAGGGACCAAGCGUGAGUGAGUGUACCUGCAGAAGAAGCACCGGCUAACUACGUGCCAGCAGCCGCGGUAAUACGUAGGGUGCGAGCGUUGUCCGGAUUUAUUGGGCGUAAAGGGCUCGUAGGCGGCCUGUCGCGUCGGAAGUGAAAGCCCACUGCUUAACGGUGGGUCUGCUUCCGGUACGGGCAGGCUGGAGUAUGGCAGGGGAGACUGGAAUUCCUGGUGUAGCGGUGGAAUGCGCAGAUAUCAGGAGGAACACCGGUGGCGAAGGCGGGUCUCUGGGCCAUUACUGACGCUGAGGAGCGAAAGCGUGGGGAGCGAACAGGAUUAGAUACCCUGGUAGUCCACGCCGUAAACGUUGGGCGCUAGGUGUGGGGACUGUUUCCACGGUCUCCGUGCCGUCGCUAACGCAUUAAGCGCCC
rnacentral:rRNA from 1 species